rnacentral:rRNA from 1 species
UGCAGAAUCCCGUGAACCAUCGAGUCUUUGAACGCAAGUUGCGCCCGAGCCUUCGGGCUGAGGGCACGCCUGCCUGGGCGUCACGCAUCGCGUCGCCCCCUACACCAAUUUGGUGAGGGGGCGGAUAAUGGCAUCCCGUUAGCUCGGUUUGCCCAAAAAGGAUCCCUCAUCGAUGGAUGUCACAACCAGUGGUGGUUGAAAGAUCAUUGGUGCCGUUGUGCUUCACUCCGUCGCAUGCUUGGGCAUCGUUACAAAACAAUGGUGCUAACGCGCCUUCGACCGCGACCCCAGGUCAGACGGGACUACCCGCUGAGUUUAAGCAUAUCAAUAAGCGGUGGAGAAGAAACUUACAAGGAUUCCCCUAGUAACGGCGAGCGAACCGGGAAUAGCCCAACUUGAGAAUCGGGCGGCCACGCCGUCCGA